GGAGAGGUGCCUGAGUGGCCGAAAGGAGCCGCCUGCUAAGCGGUUGUAGUGACAAAAUCGCUACCCAGGGUUCGAAUCCCUGCCUCUCCG
rnacentral:tRNA from 1 species